GCAAUCAACAAAAAAAGGGUCAAUAAUGUGGUCAAAAGAGUGAGUGAUAAAGGGGUAUAAUGGUAAAUAGAAAGCAAAUGAUUGAGGAAGAAGUGUUUGGAGAACGUGGGAGAGAAGAAGAGAGAGAGGAGAGGGUCUCCGUUACAGCGAACCAUAAGCCCCACGACAUACCCGCCGCGUGUGGACCCCAUUACUUCGUCCGUUAUUGCUGACGUGUCGAGACCGUUCCACAUGAUUGGUUUUCACGUUUGGGUCCCAUGUUUUCGCCGCCAGCCGCGCGUGAGCUGUCUCGACCAGAAAUGACUGUUCCGUCCACGUAGGCUUGUGUCUGAAUUCUCCACCGUCAGAUCUUUUUGGACCCUUCUUUCCAAGAUUUUUAUGCUUUCCAAUGUUUUCAUGCACGUUGCAAUCAUUCAGGAUUCGUCCAAACAUUUUACUAUAUGGUUGUUUUGAGAUAACAUGCUUAAGAUAAUGGCUACUAUUUCUAAAUUAAGUUUGUUUGGGGGUUACAUAAUCACUCUUCUUAUUCCUAAUAUAACCCUCAAGGUCAAUACACAAAGGCAAAGUAUUGAGAGCAUCAACAUCACCUAAGUUUUAUUGUGUCUCCUUAUCCUUUCUACUACAACUUCUAUAUACAACAAAACACAUCUUUCAUUUUUUUUUUUGCUCUAACUUUUAUAAGAACAUGAUAAACAAAACAAAAAAAAACCUACACAUCAAAAUCAUUUGACUUUCCAUCUAUCAACUUAUCCAUCAACUUACUUUCUUGAGGUCUCUUUGUGUCCAUCUUCUCCUUGUUCUGCCUCCUCUCUUAUAGUCAUUUGUUGUGGCUCUUUUUGUAGUUUCCUAC